rnacentral:lncRNA from 1 species
UAAUAAUAAUAAACUUAGAAAUACCAAACAAAACUGGCAAAUAUCUGGGACCGACACAGCAAAGGGAAAAACCAUUGUUCCCGAACCCUCCGUCCCGCCGCGCCUUCGUCGACCGGAGCACCGGUAGUCAUCGACCAAGAAGAGGGAGAAAUGGGAAAAAAAAGGAACUCAUUUAUCUAACAUUUAAAAGCCCAAAUGUCGAUCGAUUUUUUCCCUGUUUUUCCUUCCACAGUCUCCGGCGUUUAAUAACGGUUCAUAAGUUUUGCAUUUUAUGUUGCUGGUUUUAAUGAAUGAAAUGUAUGCAGCCUAUUACAGAACAACAUCAUAACAGGACCAAUCCCAACAAAACUUGGAAAACUCUCAAAGCUCCAGACUCUUGAUCUUUGUGAUAACUUCUUUAAUGGAAGUAUUCCUUCUUCACUAGGGCACUUGAAAACCUUUCAGUAUAUGUAAGCAUCGAAGUUUAAACUACUAAAAGGACUUAACAACUCCUUUUUGUACAAUGAAAUGGACAAACAACUAUUUCUCACCAAAAUAGAUUGAAGGAGCAGGGACGAUCGG